UUCAUCUACGCUCGUGUUCGGUGCCUUGACCACCUCGUCCCCCGAAAAAGGUUGACGUCGAGGGAGGGGAUCUCUCCUGUCCUGAGCCCGAGGGUCAAAGCUCCACACGGGGACGGCGCCAAAGAUACCGUCGCAGUUCAGCGGAAGGAAAGGGUGGCGCGAUUGAUGGCCUAUGCAAUUUUGCUGAGGAAAAAGGUUCCGUUCCUUCAACCGAUCCAAGCAAUCGUUUGAUUGAUAAUGCAAAAUUCCUAUCUUCGCACAAUUUGUAUGGAUGAUGGAUACCUGUCGGCUAGCACAUGGUCCCAAAGUUUAUGGUCUUUUUAUUUUUUGUCAUCGUCGCUUUAUUUAUGUUCUGAUUUCUGAAUAUAUUUUGCAACGGAUGAAUGGCCAAUCCCUUCACUAAGGACGUCACUGAAGCAGAAAGCCACCACAUCCGCAGCUAGACAAAGACCCCAGCAUGAAAAUCUGAAAUAGAUCUUAAGAUUGAGCUCUAUAUCUCGUCAUCAGAACUCAGUUGAUUGUCUACCAGACAAUGCACUGGAAACUUUACAAGAUACCUAGCAUACAUUUUUAUGCAUAAUAAGCCACACAUCCUGUAAAUAGCCAAAUUGUAUGCUGUCUAUUUUACGAAUUAGCCAGUCUUAAGGCUCAAAUAGGCUUGAAUUUGCUGAA